UACAGAGGUCCUAAGCGUUGUUCGGAUUCACUGGGCGUAAAGGGUGCGUAGGUGGCCAGGUAAGUUCGGUGUGAAAGCUCGGAGCUUAACUCCGAAAUGUCAUUGAAUACUAUCUGGCUGGAGGGUCGGAGGGGAGACUGGAAUUCUCGGUGUAGCAGUGAAAUGCGUAGAUAUCGAGAGGAACACCAGUGGCGAAGGCGAGUCUCUGGACGACUCCUGACACUGAGGCACGAAAGCCAGGGGAGCAAACAGG
rnacentral:rRNA from 1 species